CACUACCUAAUCGUCAAGCCUUGGAAGGGCACCAACUCAGCCACGUUCACCUAUUCUUAGCCAUCGAUCUUUCCGCUUUUUCGUUAAUCUUGUGCGUUCGUUCUACGCAGCCCCCCUAUAUAGUAAUAGGAUGAGCAUCCUUUUUCUUUUCAUCUCCUUCUCCUUAUUCUGUGCCAUCUUUCAAUCAGAUCUCCUCUUCAUGGAUUCUCUUCCAGUUAUAUUGUUUGUCCAAUCUUUUAGAUCUUUCUUUGAUCUACAAUCUGAUUCUAGUUUCAUGAGAAGUUCGAAUUGGAUCGUUCAAUAUAUGGUUUAACAUGCUGCAGUUGUUAUCACCCAAAACGGCUAUUCCUUUCCCUCCGUUUCCCUGGUGUUGUUUCUGCAGGUCUUUGUUGUUUGACAAAACAUGAUGUCCAUGGGAUAAUUCAGUCGCAGUUUAUUUCCUCCUGGUGGUGUUGAUUCGUGGCUGGAAGUUCGAUAUGCAUGACUACCUUCGAUCUCGUUUCUGAUCUUUGCUGGGUAGCGCUUGUAUCACGCAAUUAUAUGAGGCUAAAAAGAGAUGUAAUUCGUUGAUUGAUGUGGAUAGCGGGAGAUGGGAUUUGUGAUGCAUGGAUGUAUAAGAUAUGUCAGGACGAAAAGCCCAAUAUUGUCUAAUUUAUGGGGUCUCGUAGUCCUUGGUUAAUAUCUUUGUCAUCCGACCUUUGCCAUGACAGGUGCGCUUGCAUGGCAGGUCACCCUAUUCUUAAUAAAAUUAUUGAUUUCGAGUUUUGUGAGUGGAGAUCGCACGGGGAUUGCCCGGGUUCUCCUCUCGCUGGUGUGUGUUUUGUUCCGCUUUCUUAUUUUUGUUAACCGCCACAAUUCCAAUCCGUAACUGAUACAACAGAUCUCUAGAGGCGCAUCAACAUAUUGCAACUUGAAGGCAUUUGCUCUGGAGGUACUCUCUGACUGACUUCUCAAAUUCGAUUUUGUUCUAAAGGUCUAAAUUAUUUAAUUCAAAUCUAUAUUUGCAUCAUGCUUGCUAGCUAUUUGGCGGCAAUACUUUCCUUUGAUUAAGAUCCCUUUCAAAAGGGUACAACUAAAUAAUGUGUUGGAUGUUUGAAAUUGGCAGUUAUCGUAUUGUGGAGUUCUUCGAAACUGGAUAACCUUUCAAGGUAAAAGGAAAUUGCGUUCAAUGAUAUAUGGUUUAUCGUUUUUAACCCAGAAAAAAAAAAUCACUGCCCAUGUUGAUUCAUGAAUUCUCCUCCUGCAAAUCAACAAAUUUCAGCUGUCUCGUUAUUCUGCAAUUAAAUGACAUUUAUCUUUAGUUAUUGUUAUUUAAAUCUACAUCAAAGGCAAUACAUUUAAUUAUAUUUUUCCAUCCAAGCGUUUCCCUUCUUUGUCAAAUAUUAUUUAGUUGAUUUGUUGGAUCAUCAAAAUCGCCAGAUGCUGUGUAUUUCCAAAUUCUAUUACUGUAUAAUUUAAUUUGGAAUUUUUAAUAUGAUUCGUAGUGUAUAAUGUAUUUGUCCAAGUCAAUUUCCUCUUUUUUGUUCUUGGUGAUCUUUUGUAACAUGGAUGUCCUUCCUAGUUUGUUCUCUUGCUUGUUUAUGGAGGAUGCCAUUGCUGAGGAGGGCUCAAGCGCAACUGUAAAGGUGACAACAUCAAGUGGUUAGAUGUUUUUGUUUGCACUUCCUCACCAUGUUUACGAAUUCAUUUGAGCCUGUAGUUAAUUUUUAGACUAUGUUUAAUACCAGCGCGGUAGUUGGUACCCAUCAGUACAUGAAUUAUCAAAUUUAACUCAUGUUCAUAUUAUUUGGGGUGGUUUAUGUGUUGCUGCGUCUAUAAUUAGAAAUUUCAUUUUGAGGUUUUGGA